UUAGAGCAUCUAGAAAUCCAUUUUGGCGGGAAAACGAAAUGGGCUGUAAAAAUCACACGCGGACCUCCACUUCUUUGAUUUGGUACCCGACUAUUCGGAUCAUAUAUAACCAUAAUCUUUUCAAUAUUAGCUCACUAUCUCUGUUCCAAACCCUAAUCUUCAUCCAUUCCAAACCCUUUUCAAUCGUUCAUUCACCUAUUAAUCUCAAACCCUAAACUAUAUCUUUUCACAAUCGCAAAACAUUGCCUCUACAACCGUUAACCGCAAUCAUAUCAAAGAAUGAUCUGUGGUUAAGAAUUGAAGACAAACGAUCCAAUUGAAGUCUACCUGGUUGAUGUUGCGGCUUAUGCUUCUCUCCAAGAGAUCAAUUAUGUUUUUUACAAAGCGGUAUGAAUCUGGCUUUUGAUUGUGUGAUGUUAAUGAUAUUGAUUUCGAUUUACAUAUUAAUUGCGCGAUUGAAUCUAUUUUUUGAGAUUUUCAUUUUGUUUAAAGCUACACGUUUUGAUUAUGUUCAACUCAAUCUGUUAAGAGGUAUCCUACUUGAUUUAAAAAAAAUGAAAUUUCACUUUUAUUAGACGGAUCGAUUUGGGGUUUUCUAUCUCUAAUAGGUCAAAUGUUUUGAGUAGGUCAAGUAUAUGAUGGUGCUCAUGGUACCAAGCCUAAACACUUUCUGAAGCACAGUUACAACAGAUGUAAUGUUUUCAUCAUCGUUCAUACUUCAUAUACAACGGAAGAUUCGAUUUUAUACAGGCUUUGUUAUUUUCUCUUGAAUGUCUUCAAUGUUUUUAUCAACGACGCUAUACAAGUCACGAUCCGACAUAAUACAGGCGAGUGAUACAAUAUCGUGCUCUGACUGAUAAGGCGAGUGAUGCGUUCUACAAACUCAGCAACACAAGGACCCAAAUCCAGGCCUAUGUUUUUGAUGGAUAUACCCGCUGAAUUUUGUAAGACAUGGGUAUCAUCAAUCAGAUUUAAGAUUAAAACAAGCAGAUUUGAGAAUAAAGCAAUUAUUUUGAUCCACUUUUCAACUUGGUGUCAGUAGGCUGUUAUUAAAGAAAUUGUUUCUGCAGUGGGCCGACCUUUGGCAGACUUGUUUUUGCACUAACAGAAGGUUAUGGUGAAUUCACAGUCACUACAAAAGCCAAAAAAAACAAGAAGUUCCCUUAUGUUAAACAAGUUUUGAAUUGUUUAAUAUACGUUUUCAGGAUUAGGUCAAUUGGAAAAAGUUGUGAUGGUGGAUGCAUCAUAUUUUCCUUUCAUUCGGUAAUUUCAUUGGUCAAUCAACAACUUCGAUCUACCAAUUGAUCCACAUAACUGGAAGAAUCUUGUAGGAAUUGACUUUGGCCGCAAAUAGGGUGUUUAGCCCCUCUCUAAGCUUUUGGAUUUAACAAAUGGGUUCUGUUUUGAAUCGGUAACAACGGACGCAGAACAUGAGAGGAAUAUUGAGCCAAAUCUGAGUCACCAACAUGAGAGGUGGUGGAUGACGCAAAUACUUUUAAUUUUGGAUGGAGCCAAUGGGUCAACCGAGGAAGCAGAGCUGAAUGAAUUGAUGGCUGCCAUUCCGAAUCUAUCGCUCAAUAUGCUAUUUUGAAGUAUUAUUGUGCAUCAAGAUAACGGAUAAGGGCUUGGAGCAUGUAAUCGUCAAAUGCUCUGGUCUAAAGAGCCUAAAUUUUUAUGCAUUAAGGUAUGGGGUUUGUGAAACUGAUAUUGUCUUUUUGAUUUAAUGUCCACUAUUAACUUAACUAAGCACUUAUUUUAAUUGUAUGGUUUAUGGAUGUUUUAUAGUUUGUUUUGCUUUUUGUGCUUUUGCCAUGUUCUCUGUUUGGUAAACUGGUUCUUGCGGAAGAAUUCUUAAACAUAUCGGUGGCAAUAGAGACGACUUCCCGGUUGUAGUUGGUGGUUGAGCUAGGUCCCGACAUUCGAGGCACAAAAGUGGUGUUCGGUGUUUGGAAGACACUUGUAAAAGGCAUCACCUGGAUACUCAUUUUGAAUUGUUUUCGUGUCCGAUUUUCAGGUAUAUUUGAUGUGUUAGCAUAUACUGAUAUGGAUGUUACGGUACCUUUCACUUGGACCAAGAGUGAUCCGAAACUGAUUGCGAAUCCGCAGAUGGUGAAAUUGCAUUCUUUCGAUACCAAGAUUCACAAGGUUGACACUUUAGUGUCUUACAAGAAUGAUGAAUGGGAUGAGCAGUAAUUAGUAAAAGAUGUGAUUUUUUACUUUUUACUCUAAAACUUUGGUUACUGUUGUUUGUUGUUGGUUCCCAAAGAUUGUGAUGUGAAUCAUUUUGAUUCACAUUUUCUGUAAGUUGCUUAAGAUAUAAGAAAUAUAAAUAUGGAAUCUUGUUCUAUCAUGGCUUUCAUGAAAAUUGUUCUCUUUGAUUACAAUUAUGUUCAUAAAAUGUAAAAUGACUUGACAG